UCACAGAUGAUGCUCAAGAAUGGCAGCAGCCAAACGGGUCCUGCAGGUCCAUUGAUUGGUCCAUGUUUGUCAUCUCACAAACUACCUCCUCUUGCCAGAAAAUCUGGUUCAUGUUCAGUUUUCUGAAAGCAAGAAUUUCUUUGCACAUCUCUUUUGAGUCGGCUACAGAUGCAUGCUACAGCUGAGAAAACAACUUGGAUAUAAGACUUAUUUUCAGGGGACCUAAUUGGAAAUGACGAAGAUGGGGCCUCUAAUUUUUCUCCUCCUGCAAUUAGGACUAAUUGGGACAAUCACAUCGCAAACAACAAUGGGUAACUUAAUGUCAAACAUAACACCACAAGGAGAUACCAACUCAACAUCCAAUGUGACUCCACAAGGAGAUACCAACUCAACAUCAAAUGUAACACCACAAGGAGAUACCAACACAACAUCAAACGUGACAUCACAAGGAGAUACCAACACAACAUCAAACGUAACACCACAAGGAGAUACCAACUCAACAUCAAAUGUGACACCACAAGGAGAUACCAACACAACAUCAAACGUGACACCACAAGGAGAUACCAACACAUCAUCCAAUGUGACACCACAAGGAGAUACCAACACAACAUCAAACGUAACACCACAAAUAGAUACCAACUCAACAUCCAAUGUGAGUCCACAAGGAGAUACCAACUCAACAUCCAAUGUGACACCACAAGGAGAUACCAACUCAACAUCCAAUGUGACACCAGAAGAAGUUGACAUCACAACAGCACUGAAUAACAACACAACACCAAACAUCAUAAAUGCCACUUCUGAGUCAGCAAUAUCAACAAUUACCACAACUUCAUCUCCAAUCACUACACCAACACAACCCGUUACUGGAACGUCAGCUCCAACCAGUGAAUUAGCAAUUCCAACCAGCUCUAAUUUCUCUCUUCCACUGAACACAAGCUCUUUUACAGCAACAGGAUUCACUGUAUCAACACAGACAGAAGAUAUAACCCUAACAACACUGCCAGAAACUUCACCUCUAACCACUAUGUCAAUCCCACCAACACUGCCUAUUAACACAACUUCAGGUUUGAAUACUGUCUCAACAACACCACCAACACUACCUGUCAAUGAAAGUUCAGCUACAACCACUUUGUCAACAGCACCAACUUCACCAUUGAAUACAACUUCAGCUUCAAACAAUGUCUCAGCAACAUCACCAACACCUGCUGUCAUCUCAGCGUCAACACCAACACCUUCUGUCAGUGCAAGUUCAGCUCCAACCACUUUGUCAACACAACCAACUUCACCUUUGAAUACAACUUCAACUUCAAACAAUGUCUCAGCAACAUCACCAACACCUGCUGUCAUCUCAGCGUCAACACCAACACCUUCUGUCAGUGCAAGUUCAGCUCCAACCACUUUGUCAACACAAACAACUUCACCUUUGAAUACAACUUCAGCUUCAAAAAAUGUCUCAGCAACAUCUCCAACACCUGCUGUCAUCUCAGCGUCAACACCAACCCCAAUGUUAACACCACCAACACCAUCUGUCAGUGCAAGUCCAGCUCCAACCACUUUGUCAACACCACCAACUUCACCUUUGAAUACAACUUCAGCUUCAAACAAUGUCUCAGAAACAUCACCUACACCUGCUGUCAUCUCAGCGUCAACACCAACACCUUCUGUCAGUGCAAGAUCAACUCCAACCACUUUGUCAACACAACCAACUUCACCUUUGAAUACAACUUCAACUUCAAACAAUGUCUCAGCAACAUCACCAACACCUGCUGUCAUCUCAGCGUCAACACCAACACCUUCUGUCAGUGCAAGUUCAGCUCCAACCACUUUGUCAACACAACCUACUUCACCUUUCAAUACAACUUCAGCUUCAAACAAUGUCUCAGCAACAUCUCCAACACCUGCUGUCAUCUCAGCGUCAACACCAACCCCAAUGUUCACACCACCAACACCAUCUGUCAGUGCAAGUCCAGCUCCAACCACUUUGUCAAC
ensembl:lncRNA